GGGGGUGUAACUCUGUGGUAGAGAGUGUGUCUAGCAUACAGAAACCCCUAGGUUCAAUUCUUAGCACCACACA
rnacentral:tRNA from 1 species